UUACGGCCAUAUCACGUUGAGACACUGGUUCCCGUACUAUCACCGAAGUUAAGCAACGUCAAGACUGGUCGGUAUCUAGGUGGGUGACCGCUUGAGAAUACGAAGUACUGUAA